rnacentral:rRNA from 1 species
UACGUAGGGGGCAAGCGUUGUCCGGAAUCAUUGGGCGUAAAGAGCGUGUAGGCGGCCCGGUAAGUCCGCUGUGAAAGUCCAGGGCUCAACCCUGGAAUGCCGGUGGAAACUGUCGGGCUAGAGUCCGGAAGAGGCGAGUGGAAUUCCUGGUGUAGCGGUGAAAUGCGCAGAUAUCGGGAGGAACACCAAUGGCGAAGGCAGCUCGCUGGGACGUAACUGACGCUGAGACGCGAAAGCGUGGGGAGCAAACAGG